GAUGAACGCUAGCGGCAGGCCUAAUACAUGCAAGUCGGACGGGAUUCAGGAGCUUGCUUCUGAUGAGAGUGGCGCACGGGUGCGUAACACGUAUGUAACCUACCUUUAUCAGGGGGAUAGCCUCUCGAAAGAGAGAUUAAGCCCGCAUAAAAUCACAGCACAGCAUUGUGUAAUGAUCAAAUAUUUAUAGGAUAAAGAUGGGCAUGCGGAACAUUAGCUAGAUGGCGGGGUAACGGCCCACCAUGGCGACGAUGUUUAGGGGAUCUGAGAGGAUGGCCCCCCACACUGGUACUGAGACACGGACCAGACUCGUACGGGAGGCAGCAGUAAGGAAUAUUGGUCAAGGAGCGGAAGCCUGAACCAGCCAUGCCGCGUGAAGGAAGACGGCCCUACGGGUUGUAAACUGCUUUUAUACGGGAAUAAUACCAGAUACGUGUACCUGGCUGAAUGUACUGUAAGAAUAAGGAUCGGCUAACUCCGUG
rnacentral:rRNA from 1 species